GACAGAGGUUGCAAACGUUGUUCGGAAUCACUGGGCAUAAAGCGCACGUAGGCGGUCUGUUAAGUCAGGUGUGAAAGCCCCCGGCUCAACCGGGGAACAGCAUCUGAUACUGGCAGACUCGAGGAUGGUAGGGGUGAGUGGAACUCCAGGUGGAGCGGUGAAAUGCGUAGAUAUCGGGAGGAACACCAGUGGCGAAGGCGACUUCCUGGCCUGUUCUUGACGCUGAGGCGCGAAAGCUAGGGUAGCAAACGGG
rnacentral:rRNA from 1 species